rnacentral:rRNA from 1 species
GACGAACGCUGGCGGCGUGCUUAACACAUGCAAGUCGAACGGAAAGGCCCUGCUUUUGUGGGGUGCUCGAGUGGCGAACGGGUGAGUAACACGUGAGUAACCUGCCCUUGACUUUGGGAUAACUUCAGGAAACUGGGUCUAAUACCGGAUAGGAGCUCCUGCUGCAUGGUGGGGGUUGGAAAGUUUCGGCGGUUGGGGAUGGACUCGCGGCUUAUCAGCUUGUUGGUGGGGUAGUGGCUUACCAAGGCUUUGACGGGUAGCCGGCCUGAGAGGGUGACCGGACACAUUGGGACUGAGAUACGGCCCAGACUCCUACGGGAGGCAGCAGUGGGGAAUAUUGCACAAUGGGCGGAAGCAUGAUGCAGCCACGCCGCGUGCGGGAUGACGGCCUUCGGGUUGUAAACCGCUUUCGCCUGUGACGAAGCGUGAGUGACGGUAAUGGGUAAAGAAGCACCGGCUAACUACGUG